GAUUAUGCUGCUUAGUGACAACCAUACUAAAAAAAUUACAGUAAAAGUUACAUUAAAACUCUGAUUUCAGUGUAAAAAAAGUUGUUGAGAACAGCAAGUCAAAAAAGUUGUUGAGAACAGCAAGUCAAAAAAGUUGUUGAGAACAGCAAGUCAAAAAAGUUGUUGAGAACAGCAAGUCAAAAAAGUUGUUGAGAACAGCAAGUCAAGUUAUUCAACAACAACAAAAAAUAAAAAAUUCCCAACAACAAAAAAAUAGCAAGUUUCUGAUGUUGUGACAGAAGCUCAAUUAUGGAUGCUAAAGCAGGUUUAACUAUAUUCAAAAUGCACUUUUUCACCUUGCAAAAAAAAAAAUUCAUUAAAAGAUGCAGUUCAACAAUAAUAAAAAGACGCAGUUCAACAAUAAAUACAAGUUACUAUGUCUUCAAAUACAAUAUGGGUACAAUGAUGCCUACUUUUGGCCGAUGCCGAUGGUUACAGGCCGAUGCCGAUGCAUCGGUAUCGGCUCUGAUAUUGGAUAUAUGAUGGAAAUAUACACUUGAAUGGAAAUGCCACCUUCCAUUCAUGUGACAAUGAAAGCAAUAUUUUAAAAUUGUUUUUAAAAGUUACGUUUUAAAUGUAUUUUAAAUGUCUUUUAAACGUCAUCUAAACAUUCUUACGUAAAGAACGUUUUAAAUACGUUUAAAACGUAACUUUUAAA